rfam:Schistosoma mansoni strain Puerto Rico chromosome W, complete genome
AUCCAGCUGACCAGUCCCAAAUAGGACGAAAUGCGCGUCAACCUGGAU